GGAAAGCAGCUAAAGUCACUCAAAAAGUCGCUAAAUGCCGCUAAUGUCAGCAUUAUGUUCUGUUCAGUGUGUUUUUUCCUGUCAAAAUAAACUGACCUAGUUUCCAAGUCUGUGUCAGUUUCAUUUUGUUCACCUGGUGUUCAUUAAUUACCUCAUUAGUUCCCUCAUUUAGUGUGGUUUAUUUUCUCUCUGUGUUCAGUUCUUUGUCCCGUCUUGUCAAUGUUAAGUGGUUGUGUUUUCCCAUUCUCCUGUGAUUCCCCUGCUGGAUUUAAUAAAGACUGUUUGUGUUUUGAUAUUCUCCUGUCGUGUUUAUACCCAGCCACACGUGACUUUACAUGUGUUUUAUUCAUAAAGCAUGAGAGGAGAGCACUGGGACUGUUAGGCUGCGUCCGAAACCGCCUACUUCUCUACUAUUUAGUAGGGGAAAAGCAGUAGGCGAGCGAAUAAGUAUGUCUGAAGCAAAAAGAGUAGGUGAAAAUUACCUGCGUGACGUACUAAUUCUCGCGAGAUUCGGACGUGCGCCUACUUAAAGUGCGUCCGAAACCGCCUACUUACCUAAUAUAUAAUAGGGGAAAGCAGUAGGCGAGCAAUAAAGUAUGUCAGAAACCUCAGUAAUCAUAAAAUAGUAGUCGAGGAGUUCCCGAAUGGCCUACUGCUUCCGCCCAGAUUCUGAAGUAUUCCUUGCUGGAUACUUUUCUAUCCCAGCAGGCCACGGGAGAGGAUACGUCAUAAUCGAACACGGAGGAGAAAAGCGGCGCGGAUGCUGUCAAAUGGACAGAUGAUCACGUGUGUUUAUCCGGUGGAGGAAUGAUGCCAUCAAAGGCUUUGAAGCUUUUGUGGAGCAGGACCUGCAAGAAAAGCUGACGACAGUAUUUGUUAUAAAAAAAAAGAGGAAAACCUGAAACAAAAUAAAAAUAUAUAUAAAGUAAGUAACAAAAUAUAAAGUAAGAUCAUUUUGUUAUUUCUAAUACAGUGAAUGCCCUCAGACUGGUGAGAGCACUGAGGAUGGAGAGCCACAGCAGAUCCUGGGAAUGGUUCAGUGUUAUGGACGAGAUCCUCCAUCACUCCUCCUUCCAAGUGACUCGACCAAGGACACACUGGAGGAGACGCUGCAGAGAUCGAACCAGCAACCUUCUGCUGACCAGCUCAGUGGUUUAGACCACCACACCACAAAACUAAUGAAGCCAUGACAAGAAUUAGCAAUUGAAAAAUAUGAAAUGAAAUAUGCAAGAAACAGAAUGCUGACAUGAAUUAAUUGUAAAAUGUUUUAAUCUGCUGAUGGAGAGCACAUGAAUGUUUGCAGCAGCAGAUUGUCCCACACAUCUUCUCCCACUACUGCUCCAAGGUUGAGGGGUUCAGGGUUCCAUCAUCAUCAUCAUCAUCAUCAUCAUCAUCAUCAUCAUCAUCAUCUUCAGCAGUGAGGAACAUGAUGAUGAAGGUGUUCAUCAGCUGCUUGAUCAGAAUACAGCUGCAGAAUUGGCACAGCUGUGUUGAGAUGACAACAGGACUGUAAAUACCUGAUUGUUAGAUCAAUACAUUUGAAUAAAGCUUUGUUUCGUGUGUUGUUGACUUGUAUAUGCAUUUAUUUGUCAUUAUUACUUUUAUUAAUUCUUUACUUAUUAAUUAUGCUAUUAUCAGUAAAUGUAUAUAUUUUAAUAAGCAAUGAAUUAAUGCAUGAAUUGACUGUAAAUGGAGAUGUAUUCACAUCAGCUGUAUUUGUCUAGUGUGUGUUCAUGCACAGCUGUCAUAUAACUAAACAUUACAUUUUGCUUGUUUUAUUAAAGAAGUAAAAUGAAAAGUAAUAUAAUUAAGUUUUGGUCAGCAUU